rnacentral:rRNA from 1 species
AUGAAAGUUGCAACCACCGGAUACAUCCACCACACUCCAAUGCGACCGAGUCGCGUUGUACCAAGCAACACCUUCAAGAAGGACUGCGACGACAACGCUGCUACUGCCCGGACGAAUUCUAGAAUUUCUCCCGGUACACGGAGGAAAGCGAAGGAGAGGACCAACCGACGGCUCCACCAUGCCAACCGCCCACCAACAUGCGCUACCAUAGUCACGAGGACCCACUGUCAUCUCUCCACCGCAAACGCUGCAAGGUCGGACGAAGCAAACAAGGCCACCUAUGAUAGGGACCGGCUCCGCCGGCCAACCCACGACGCCAACCGCCAUCGCCGCCACGCCUGCGCCCCGAUCUACACCGCGGCACCACCCGUCGAGGCACACCGUCGCCGAAGACCACCGCCCGAGCCGGGAAACCGUGAGGGAAGGAAGAAGGGGCCUGCCACCACCGGCCUCGCCACGGCGCCGCGCGGGCAACGCCCGGCCGCGCCAGCCGGCAGGAGGAGGAGUGGAAGGCGGGGGCUAGGCGGCGAGGGGAGGGAGGGCCGCCCCGCAGGCACCAUAGCCCGAGCACAUCAACUUCGCAUUCGUCUAGAUGCUCUUAUCUCCUCCAGGGUGAAGGGGGCGACGAGGGCGGCGCCGUCGACGCGCGGCUCACCGGCAGACGACGGGACGGGAGCGCAGAGGCCCAUCCUUUCCCCACUCGCCGCCUGCAGGCAGGAAUCGAGCGGCUGGGCGUCCCUCCCCGCUGACCUAGCCCACCUCAUCGCCCGGCGGGUGUUCAACGGCGGGCUGGUGGACUACAUCGCCUUCCACGCCGUCUGCUCCGACUGGCGCGCCAGCACAUCCAAUCCGGCCAGGGCCAACCUGAGCGUGCGGCAGUCUCUCCUCCGCCCUCGCGGCCAGGCGCCUGCGCGUCAGCCUUCCCGACCUCCGCCACCACAUGGCGUCAUCCUGCUGCACAAGCGCACCACCGCCGUGCGCGUGGUCCACCCCUUCACUUCCGACACGGUCGACCUCCCGCCCCUCGCUCCCGCCUUCCACCGGGCGGUCAAGGACCGCAGCUGUAUGCUCACCAUGAGCGCCUUCGUCUGCGAUGUACCCGAGACCUCCUCCAUUGCAGUUGUGGCUCAUUUCCCCGGUACACCCGUGGUGCUCUGCUCGCAGCCAGGCCACCAAGGUUGGGAGGUCAGCCACCAUGGGCUGGAGCUCGCAAACAUCUUGCCCUUCCAAGGCCGGCUCUACGCCACCUUGAGGACAGGGUCGUGCGUCCCCAAACGGGUCGUCAUGGUUUACCCUCCGGACACUUCUUUCAUGACCCACCAUGAGCUCCAUUCAUCCUGCGACCUCCUCGUGGAGUGCUGUGGGCGUAUGCUGCUUGUGCAGCAGCAUCUAACUCUCCAGCGUAGUGCCAAGUUUUGGCAAAAUUUCGAAUACAAUAUCUUUGAGGUGGACCUGAGCCUCCGGAAGCUGAUUCCGGUAAACUGCCUUGGCAACUGGGCUUUGUUCCUCAACACUGACCGAUGCCUGUCUGUCUCGGCCAAGGACCUGCCAUCUAUCCAUGGCAACUCGGUUUAUUUCUCUCUGCCACUCUACCCGGCCGUGCUACACUCUCUAGCCAGUGGUGUGUCGGAGGAGCUAUCGGCGUCCUGCCAGAUACAUGACACAAGAAGGAUUCGGCCAUCCGUGCGGCCCUUCACCCUUGCUCAUCAUCUUCUCACAUACUGCCAUCAUAAUGAGUGGACAAGGGGACUCAUGUUUCACGAGUACCACCUGAUACCUGAAUCCUUUGAGGAAUUGCACAAGAAAAUAGAGGCGCAAGAUUCUCAAUUGCAGAUUCCACGCGCUGGAGCCGGAGCUGCAAACUCCAAACUUUUGUCUUCUUCGUAA